CUGCUGCCGGCAUGGCUUCUUGUAUGACACACUAUUAUUUUAACAUUAUAAAUCACAACAACUUGAGAUCAAAGCCGUGUUCUAUGUAUAUCAAGAGAAAAACCCCACCAGGAGCAGGGUGUGAAACAUGGGAAGAAGGUUGAUCACCAAAAGGCAGAGAGGAGGACAUGCAGCGAGGAGCAGGGGAGAAGAGAGCCGGCAGCAGGGGGAAUCCCUCUGCAUGAUGUGGAGCUGUCACUAUGAUUUUAUGGCUGUACAUGACCGUGCUCUGGAAGUUAAUCCCAUGCCUUUCGCCACCGCACCUUAACUUUUCCCUGACCCGAGCAGAAGCAGAGAGUCGAGUGGGAACUUAUUUUGGGAUCGCAAACAAGGAGACGAUGGAAACCAUGAGGCCCUCAGCUGGUAGUCUACUUUUUUCACAUUUGCCCUUUCCUCAAAAGUAAUAGUUGAGCAAUUAUGUUUUUAAGUUUAAACUUUGUUUUGCAUGAAACAAAUGUAGAGUUAUUUACACAAAUCAAGGUUCCUGAUCACUGUCAGCGAAGAGGAGUUAGAGGCGCAGACCUCUGGAUGUUGGCCAGACGGCGGUCCAUAUCUUCCCACAAUGUUGACACUCGGAGCUCUUAACAGCCAGGCUUGGGUUACGGAUACACUCAGACAAAGAUAACUCUUUCUGCGAGGUUUACAUCGGCCAGUAUCAAGGCUAAUGCGAAAUGCAACGCCUUAAGCAAACUUGGAAACAUCGCUCAUGAAGGCAGACUGACUAGGACAACUUAAUUGUUUGCGUAAAGGUGGUUGUAAUAAAGCAAUUUUCAUGUUGAA